rnacentral:sRNA from 1 species
AAAUAAUUUAUACGUUAAGAAGACGAAAGAUCCACACUAAUCUAUUUAAACAAAUACAAAUAAACAAAGUUAUCACACAAUUGCAACUACCAAAGCUGAUAUUAGUCGCCUAGAGGCACUUCCUCAAGAUAUACUUGAAGAAAUAUUUGCUAAAGUUGGAGCAACAUCAGCCAAAGAUUUUCACAAUUGCAUUUUUGUAUGCAAAAAACUAGGUGCAUCAGCAACUGACAAACAAGUGCUCAAAACUCUUAAUCUUGUUCCGUUGGUGAAGUAACCGUUAUCGGCAUGCAAACCUUCUUACUAUGAAGAAAUGUUUUGACAACAACAACCCAAAUGCUCACUACAUAAAACGUAUAAUACGCUACUUUGUCUUUGAUUAUUCUGAGUUUGGUCUCCACCAUAUUGGUAAAACAGCUAAUUUAGGCCAGAAAGAAGUUACCUACAUGUAUGCCAUGCUAUUAUUAUGUCGAGGCACAACUGAAGAGGGGAAGGCCUAUCUAAGCCGUCUUGAAUGGGCUAAAGACACCACCAUGGCUGAAGCAUGUUGGAAGAAAAUCAAAACAUCAUUACAUGAGAUUAGAGUGGCGAGAAAGAAUUGCUAUAUUAUAUCACUUCACAACAUGAAACCUUCAAGUUUGUGUCAUCCAAGAGAUUUGAAUAUCACAUGUGAAACAUGUUUUAUCUACAAACAAAUGUUUAACUUUAUCUUUAUGGUAUAACUUAACCACAUCAUCUAGAGAGUUGGAACCGGUUUUAAAAAUACCACCAAAAAUGUUUGAGGCAGUGAACUAUCACAAAGCUUCAAAACAAAUAUAUUUAUGUAUUCUUUUGCUAUCAUGUUGACCUCUCUUGCUGUUGCAAGAAAUUUUUAAUU